rnacentral:rRNA from 1 species
UGGGGAAUUUUGGACAAUGGGCGAAAGCCUGAUCCAGCAAUGCCGCGUGUGUGAAGAAGGCCUUCGGGUUGUAAAGCACUUUUGUCCGGAAAGAAAUGGCUCUGGUUAAUACCUGGGGGUAGAUGACGGUACCGGAAGAAUAAGGACCGGCUAACUACGUGCCAGCAGCCGCGGUAAUACGUAGGGUCCAAGCGUUAAUCGGAAUUACUGGGCGUAAAGCGUGCGCAGGCGGUUGUGCAAGACCGAUGUGAAAUCCCCGAGCUUAACUUGGGAAUUGCACUGGUGACUGCACGGCUAGAGUGUGUCAGAGGGGGGUUAGAAUUCCACGUGUAGCAGUGAAAUGCGUAGAGAUGUGGAGGGAAUACCCGAU